UAUUGACUAUUAACAUGUUCCAUAAUGUUAAUAUAAUGGUGGUCGAGCGAUGUAAACAAUUCUGUGCAAAUUUGACAC